rnacentral:tRNA from 1 species
GCAGGGAUGGAGCAAUGGUUGGCUCAUCAGGCUCAUACCCUGAAAAUCAGCAAGUUCAAAUCUUGCCCCUGCU